rnacentral:rRNA from 1 species
GCUUAAAAUCUAGCCCUACUUUAUUUUAUACAUUACCUUUAAAUUUUAGUCUAACUAAAACAUUUUUUUGUUGUAGUAAAGGAGAUUAAAAAAUCUUUUGGAGCUAUACUUCUAGUACCGCAAGGGAAUGAUGAAAUAUCCUUAAAAAAUAAGCAUAAAAAAGUAGAGACUCAUCCUCGUACCUUUUGCAUCAUGGUUUAACUAGUCUAAUCAAGCAAAAGGUAUUUAAGUCUGACCCCCCGAAACUAAGUGAGCUACCUUAAGGCAGUUUAAUGAACUAACCCGUCUCUGUUGCAAAAGAGUGGGAUGACUUUAAAGUAGAGGUGAUAAGCCUACCGAACCUAGUGAUAGCUGGUUACUCGAGAAAAGAAUAUAAGUUCUACCUAAAAAUUUUCUAAUUUAAAUAAAUAAACCCAAAAUUUUAGAUUUAUUCAAAUAAGGUACAGCCUAUUUGAUAUAGGACACAACCUCUGCUAACGGGUAAUUUUAUAAUAUAAUACAAACAGGUAGACCUAAAAGCAGCCAACCUAAAUAAUAGCGUCAAAGCUUACUUGUAUUUUUAUUUAAUAUCUUAAUUUAUAUAUAACCCUUUAUUUUUAUCGAGUACCUCUAUAUAAUUAUAGAGCAUUUUAUGUUAAAACGAGUAACAAGAAGAAGAACUUCUCCUAAAUGUAUGUGUAAAUCGCUAAGGACCUACCAACGAUAAUUAACGCUAUUAACCUCCUAGUAACAACAUCUUAAAUAAAAUAUUACUUUCUAUUUACGUUAACCUAACACUAGAACAUUCCAGGAAAGAUUAAAAGAAAAAGAAGGAACUCGGCAAAUCUUAGCCCCGCCUGUUUACCAAAAACAUCGCCUCUUGCCCAAACAUAAGAGGUCCAGCCUGCCCAGUGACUUAGUUCAACGGCCGCGGUAUCCUAACCGUGCGAAGGUAGCGUAAUCACUUGUUCUUUAAAUAAGGACUAGUAUGAAAGGCAUCACGAAGGCUAUACUGUCUCCUUUCUCCAAUCAGUGAAACUAAUUUUCCCGUGAAGAAGCGGAAAUAAAAUUAUAAGACGAGAAGACCCUAUGGAGCUUUAAACUAUUAUACAACUGCUUUAUCUCUUAUUCUCUAACCUUAUUUUAGCACUAUGUUUUAUAGUUUUUGGUUGGGGUGACCGCGGAGUAAAAGAUAACCUCCCCAAUGAAUGUAAAUUUUUCUUAACCUAGAGAUACAUCUCCACGUAUCAAUAUCUUGCCAUGCAUUGACCCAAUUUUUGAUCAACGAACCAAGUUACCCUAGGGAUAACAGCGCAAUCCACUUAAAGAGCUCUUAUCGACAAGUGGGCUUACGACCUCGAUGUUGGAUCAGGGUACCCCAGUGGUGCAGCCGCUACUAAAGGUUCGUUUGUUCAACGAUUAAAACCCU